rnacentral:rRNA from 1 species
CACGUAGGGCGCAAGCGUUGUCCGGAAUUAUUGGGCGUAAAGAGCUCGUAGGCGGUCUGUUGCGUCCGCUGUGAAAACUCGGGGCUUAACCCCGAGCCUGCAGUGGAUACGGGCAGACUAGAGGUAGGUAGGGGAGAAUGGAAUUCCCGGUGUAGCGGUGAAAUGCGCAGAUAUCGGGAGGAACACCGGUGGCGAAGGCGGUUUUCUGGGCCUUACCUGACGGUGAGGAGCGAAAGCGUGGGGAGCGAACAGG